AUUUCUCAUCUUUACGCGAGAGGUGGCGUGUGCCCGUAGGUAGUGUGUGCACUUCUCGCGAUCGCAGAUUGAGAAUCUUAUAAGUUAGGCCACUAGAGGUUCCUUAGGAUCAUCCUGUGCUUCUCCCAUGACUUGGCUUCUCCCAUGACUUGGGCUCUGAUGGGGUUUUGUAAGUUAGCCCAACCUUCAAGUCACCAAGGACUGAUCGUCGAUCACCAAGGGUCCUUAUGGUUAGCCCUCAUCUUUUAGAUA
rnacentral:lncRNA from 1 species